CGUCAUGUUAUUUAAAUGCCGGCCACCGCGGGAUUGUGGACAGAGGUGGUCACAUAGGAGAACUAGGAUCUUUCCUCAUAGUAUCGGAGGAGGAGGAUUUCUGAGCAGCAGUGUCACCAGCACGUGCGGCAGAAUUGCUAGUCUCUUCUUUCUCCCCCCACAACGGUAGCCUGUUACAAAUGGAAGAAAACCGUGUUCAUCAACUUCUGAACUUUAGAAUUAACGCCUCCAAUUCUGUAAAGUCCCAAAAUAGUGAUGCCUGGGUAGACAGAAACGGGAUAUAGAGAUUACAAGAAACAGUCGUGAUGCUGACGCCGGCUGCUCCAACCUUCCCCGGAAUUACAGGCUGUAACUAACAAGUUGCCAAGGACAGUAUUAAUCCCUUCAGCGCUAAGGAAGAGAGAGACUUGCCUGCAGCUUAAAAUUAUUGAGAACAAGUACCACUCAUCCUCAGCACUACAGCGGAUCAGAGGUGGAAGGGGGGAAAUGACGACACAUAUUUACAUAAGGAGCUGGAUAAACUGGAGGUUUGGGCAGCAACAUGACGGAUGACUUGCACUGUUGUGCAUUUUAAAUCUGAAGGAAGGAGGUUGGUGCACCAGAGAGAACAGAUGUAUAGAAAAGACAAAGAUCUUAGUUAUUGUUAAAUCUAAUUCCCUAAUGUUGACGAUGCUUUAUCGGAACUUUGUUUCUUGUUUUAUCUGCUCUGCAAAUCUUUUAUUUAAGGCCUAAUGAUUAACAAACAAAACUUCUCAUUUUGCAUUUACAACUAUCCUCCAAAUGUACCAAAUACAGUGUCCUCCUACACCAAGCCUCAAUAUGCCAUGUAGCGCGAGACGCCUGGUGCAAGUGACCCGCACCGAGUGGCAUAGCAUCUUUUUCUCCAGAAUGAGGGUCAUAAUAGCAACGUCAUGCGUCAAAACUCGCUUCAUGGGACCGUACUGAAUAAUUAGUUACUUGUUUAUCUGUGUGUGACUGAGUCUGAAU